CCUACGGGCGGCAGCAGUGAGGAAUAUUGGUCAAUGGGCUUACGCCUGAACCAGCCACGUCGCGUGAGGGAUGACUGCCCUCUGGGUUGUAAACCUCUUUUGCCAGGGAGCAACGAUGCCUACGUGUAGCCGGCCUGAGCGUACCUGACGAAUAAGCAUCGGCUACCUCAGUGCCAGCAGCCGCGGUAAUACGGAGGAUGAGCGCGUUAUCCGGAUUUAUUGGGUUUACAGGGUUCGUAGGCGGACUGCCAAGUCAGCGGUAAAAUCGCGGGGCUCAACCUCGCUCCGCCGUUGAAACUGGCUUACUUGAGUGGGCGAGAAGUAUGCGGAAUGCGUGGUGUAGCGGUGAAAUGCAUAGAUAUCACGCAGAACUCCGAUUGCGAAGGCAGCAUACCGGCGCCCAACUGACGCUGAAGCACGAAAGCGUGGGUAUCGAACAGGAUUAGAUACCCUGGUAGUC
rnacentral:rRNA from 1 species